rnacentral:lncRNA from 10 species
AACAACGGAACCCAGGGGACAGGACUGCAUCAACUACAACCAGACGGCGUAGACGGCAGCACACGGCCCUCGGCAAAUCAGAGGUGCUCAGUGACCACAGCCACCAUGACAGCAGGGCGGGGCGGGGGGCAAGGAAGCAGCGCUGGGAGACUUGGAGACACCCCAAAAAACGCCUUCCUCAGAAACACUGCUGUGCAAGAACCUGCAAAUCCCUAAGGCGUCUGUGUCCGAUGGCCCCGGCCCCAUGCUCUGAGGUCGCGCAGGUGUCCAAGGCCAGGAGGGGCACCGAGGAGACGAAGAAGAAACAGCACAGCAGCUGGGGAGGUAGGAACAGCAGAGUCUGAGUCACCAAAGCCCGGGGCUGCCACUCUCCAGGGCGCCCCACUCCCAGCUCCAGCGGCUGAGUCCACCAAGCCAGGACAGGCCCAAGGACCAGAGGGCGAGGUGAUUCACAGUGGAGCUCGGAAAGACCCAUCCAUGCCCAGCGCCUUGUCAAAAACCACAGGGGUCUUGGUGACAAGCAAUUGAGGGAGGCCAACAUGGCAGAGCCAGGGCUGCAAAAUCGGCUGGAAUAAGCAUCAGACCUGCUAGAAGGGUUUUCUGUGCCUGUUUUCGGUGAGCACAGAACAACUGAAGGAAGCGCGGGACAGACACAAGGGCGGGCCUCGGUGCCACGGCUGGCCUUGGGCAGAGGGAAAUGCUUUGUGUACUUUCUCUGGGAAGCAGCAGCCCCAGCGCGGCCUCGGCGUCCUCUGCCGCCAACUGCUCCGUGACCGCUGGGCGUGUGUGCGGGGACAUGGGAGCAACUUCACAGUGGUGGGAAGUUUCUCUCCUAAAACGAAAGCUUCUCUAUACUACAGAUUGGCCCC